AUGAUAUGUGGUCCAUAUCUGCAUGAGGUAGUCUUCUUUAAAUAAAAUCAUUUUUACUUAGCAAUAUAUAUAUUGAUACAAAUCUAGAGCUGUAAGGGAUUGAUGGUUUUAUUUAGUACUGUGUAGUUGUUGCAAGGAUAAUAGAAGGCUGCCUAUUUUGUGGCAGUCUUUAAGCGUGGCUUGAAAUUUUCUUUUACAUUUUCUUUCUCUUGGUGAAAUGUUAGGUGUUCCUUUACAAUGCACACAUGUUUGGUUUGACAGGAAUGCCUUGCACAUAUUUUUUAAGGAAUUUUCCAUUUAUUAAUGGUGUUACUCAUUGCCUUUAUUUUUAGUCUAUGCAUCUUCAUUUCUAAAUAAAGAAACAUGUUAGAUUGGUUGAUCUUAAUAAAAUAAAGAUUACAGUACUCAAGUUUGUAAGUGCAUUGAUAGCAUUUUUAUAAAUAUUAUACUCUUAUUUUGCAGGUUAACCACUCAUUUAUCAUGAUAAGGAAUUGGGAUGGUGUGUUAUGGACUGCAAUAUUUGGUAUUAAGGUAAACCAUAUUGAAAUUAAAUUCCACUAAAAGUUCCAAAACAUAUAAGGGUCCAAUUAAUGUAUGCUCUAAGAAGGCAUUUGUGGAAUAUGUGAAACACCACUAUUCUGAUUGCAUGUUUAACAUUAAAAAUCUUAUUUUUAAGUACAGAAAGAAAGAAGAUCGUUACAAGAAUGGUCCUUCAUUCAUUCCUACACCUUUUUGGAAAAAGAUGGUGGAUAAAUGGAUGGAUGGAGAAUGAGGGGUGAGUAUAAAUGAAAUAUAUGUCACAAAUUCUCUCUAUCUCUCUUGCACUCUCUCUAACCAUUAUUUGUGGUUUACAUUUUUCACAAUUGUUAUAUUAUUUUAAUUUAUAUUUAAUUUUGAUAGUGGUUUAAGUAAUCAAAUUAAAUUAUUAUUAUUGUUAAAUUAAAAAAAAAAAAAAAGGUUAUUACUGUUGUUUAUGAUAUAUUGUAUGAUUAUAUUUGAUAUAGUACUAUGUGCACUUAUUUAUUGAAGCAUUGAUACAAAUACAAAUUCACUUUAAUUGUUUCAUUUUAACUCAUGUUUAAUGCUUUUUUUUUUUUUUUAAAAAGAUGGUACUAGCAGAGAUGAAGAGGACAACUCAAACAAUAACAUGGAGGUCAAAAGCAACUUGGAGGGUGACCUAGAGGAAAACUAAUAUAGAUCUUUUCAUAAUUCUAGUUUAAAACAAUAUUUUUAUGUAAUGGUUUAAUUUCAGGAUUUUUUUUUUGUAUAUUCUAUAUUUUAAAGUUUGAACUUAUAAGGAUUUUUAUGUUUCAAUGGAUCAAUUUUAGUAAUCAUUGUACUAUUGUAACAUGAUAGAUAAACAAAAUGAUAUAAAAUAAAUUAAAAAUAAAUAAAUAAUAAAAUAUUUAAAAUAUUAUAUAAAAUAUUAUCAUUGACAUAAAAAUUUGGUCAUAAAUAACUUUAUAGUGACGACGAAGUUCCUCGUAAUUUAUAGAAUAGUGAUGCCACUUAACCCCUUGCAAAAACGUUUAAAGUGACAGCUUAACGUCGUUACUAUUAUUUCUAACUAAUUGUGAGGUUUUAUUGACAUGGUGAUUGUGGACGAUCAUCAUGGACGAACAUCCUUAACUUAGUUCCUGUCAAUUGCCCCAUUGUCCUUGUGUCGUCCACACCAUUAUCUUUUUCUUCAACUAUUAAUUAUUUAUUAAAAGACUAUUCGAGGAAUGUACCAAGGAAGUUGACACGUGGCUCAUCUUAGAGACCUUCAAGUCGCAUCGCUUCGUUUUUCAAAAAAUGUGCCAUAUGGCACAUUUUAAUUGGUCUAUAUUGCUUUAGUGUCCCAUCUUGUUGGCUAUAAAUAGGAGAAUACCCCUCUUACCCUCUCACAUUUUUCAUAUUUCCUUCUUUGACAUCAGUCGUCCUGUGCAUCAUCUGGAAGUUUCCUUCUGUUCUUAGUCGUCUUCGUCUAGAAUCAGGUAUCCUUAUUUCUUGGUCUAUAGGUUUUCUUAAGUUAUUCUUUUACAAAAUGGCUAUCGUAGUGUCCUCGUCUACCAACAACGAUGAGAGAGAUAGAUGAAUAUCAUGAUGAGAGUAAUAAUAAUAGUAGUAGUGGAAGUGAUAGUAGUGCAUAUAGUUCUUCAAACGAGCACUACUUGUCUGGGGUUUCUAGGGCCUUAUUAGAGGUUUUCCAAGAAAAGUUAAGGCAGAAGACGACGUCAAGUUUGUCAGCUGGCCAGUCCUCUCGCAUAUCGGCAUCCAUCCCCUCUUUAGAUGAAAAGGAGGAUGUCUUAUAUUGUUGUGCAGCAGGUAUUCCUUCUAAGACAGACGAGAAAUAAACUAGGUUCCGUUAGGAGUUGGUAUCAGAUCCCAAAUGAUCUGAAUCCUCGUCUAGCUAUUCGAGGUGAAUGGUGUUGUUCCCCUCAUCAUGGAGUUGGUAUUUAAGAAGCUUAUUUGUUAGGGGGGUGGGGUCUUAGGUUGCCUCUCAACUAUUUUGCUAGGGAAAUUCUUCACAGGCUGGGUAUAGGUAUAAAUCAACUUAACCCCAAUGCAUGGAGGCUCAUUGUGUUUAUGCAGGUGCUAUGGAGAGAAGUUUUUGAGAGAAACCGUCCUCUUACUGUGGACAAGUUUCUUUACUGUUAUAAGCCCUCUGAGAUUAGUUAGUCUUUGGGCUUUUAUCAAUUUUCAGCGAGGAGUUCCAACUGUAGGUUGGUUAGGUCUCUCCCCACAUCUAAUAGGAGGUGAAAGACAGAGUUUUUCUUCGUCUCUAGAUUCUGGGCAAAGAACCCUGUUGAAGUAGGCAAGGAUCCAUUUCCUCCCUAUACAGGUGAAACGGGUCAUCUUCGUCCAGAGGGUAUGUUAUUUCCCACCCUAUGCUUUAUUUCUUUUUAUCAUACUUGUCUUUUUUUUUUUUUUUCUUUUUUAAAUACAGCUAUGAGACAACCUGCUCUGUCCAAGUUCCACCUAGACUGCAUCCAGCAAGCUCGUUCUUUUGCAGAUAGGACGUUUCAUUGCUUAGUGACACUUUGUUGUCUUGCGAGUUGGGGACUUGGCCCUGAACCCACUGAAGAAGCACUUGCCCACGAGCUUACCACCCAAAAACAUAAGUUUUUUCCUUUUCUCUUUUCUUUUUAUAUUUAAGUCAUCCAAAUACUAAACCCCUUUUUUCAUUUUUUUUUUUUUAAUUUUUUAAUUUUUUUAAUUUUUUUUUAAAAUUUUUUAAUUUUUUUUAAUUUUUUUUUUAAAGAAUGGCAACCAUGAAAGAUAACAAAGGGAUGGGCGUUGCUAGAGACAAGAUUGAGAAGGAGGCUAUUAACCAGUCUCAUCCUCCAAUUUCGUCCAUGGUGAAGGUCGUCCCUCAUGCUACGUCGGAGUGGAAGAAGACAGUGUCCAAAAGAGUAGAUACAAGGAACCUUCCUAGUCAUUAG
rnacentral:sRNA from 1 species